rnacentral:ncRNA from 1 species
GCUAGUAAUCGUGGAUCAGAAUGCCACGGUGAAUACGUUCCCGGGCCUUGUACACACCGCCCGUCACACCAUGGGAGUGGGCUGCACCAGAAGUAGAUAGCUUAACCUUCGGGAGGGCGUUUACCACGGUGUGGUUCAUGACUGGGGUGAAGUCGUAACAAGGUAGCCCUAGGGGAACCUGGGGCUGGAUCACCUCCUUA